UGUACCAUGAAAGUCCAAGGCUUAUAUGCGUACUAUAUACAGCUCCAACAUAUGGUCCAUGUAGGACUUUGAAGCCAAUUCUUAGUAAGGUAUGCAAAUAAAAAAAUGUUUCACUUUUGCAUGACGUUCAAUCUCAAUGCCACUAUCAACUCUUACAAUGAUUGAUGUCUAAUGUGAUUUGGAGGUGGCCAGAAAUAUUUGGGAUGACAUGAUGAAAAACCAAUUUUAUGUGGUAACAUCUCAUUGUGUGAAGAAACACAUGCUUUACUAUAUCUGUCUAUUUUAGUGUUGAUGCCUCAUAUAGAAUGCAGUAACCUCUUUUUAGUAACUUUCUUUUAUGUCAAGUGAUUGAUGAGUUUGAUCAAAAUGUACACUUUGUUGAAACUGAUAUUGAGGAAAAUCCAGAAAUAGCAUAAGCAGCUGGUAUUAUGGGUACACCAUGUGUUCAAUUUUUCAAAACAAGGAAAAUUUGAGGUUGUUUUUCUUCUAUACUCCUGGUGCUGGUCCAACUGUCAAAUCUGGUUCAAAGGGAAAGCGCCAUCGUUUGAUACUGACUAAAACUAACCUGAAAUUGGUGCAUAUUACAGAGCAUGUUUGAUAGAACCCAGUGGAGUUGGAAGGUUUGAAACAAGCAAACAUUCGAGAUGGCAUUGCAGUGGUGCAAUAUCUUGUCUGGUUGGAUAAGCAGGAGAUAUAUGGGGUUUCUGGUUACUUCUUGGAGGGAGACGAAGUGACUAAGAAAAAACAAUUGCAAACACUUAAACUGACAGAGGUGACUGCAAGCGAUAAGCUGGAGAGUUUUCGUGCAGUAAAAAAGGUCCUCAAGGGUCAUAUUGCACUUGGGAAUGCUCAAUUUCCUAAUGGAACCAA